rnacentral:lncRNA from 1 species
AGUCUGAAACUGACGAGGCCUCCCGGGGAAACGUGGCCAGAACAACCAAACCCAUUGAGCAGUUCCCAGAGGGGUGGAGUCAGGAGUCAGAUGACUCGAGGUGCGAUGACCUCACACCAUUGCUGGCCGUGGGAACUCUACGGACUCACCCAGACUCAGUUUCUUUUACCUAUAACUUGAGGGUCUCAGCUCUAACAUGAGUGGAAGAGCAUCAAGGGAAACCGAGGAAUGGUGUAGAGGUUGUAUAUUAAGACCUGGAAUAUUUGGGGUUGAGACAUGGGUGGGUAAGGUCGCCAGAUGGGAAACCUCCCAUGUGUUGCCAUAGCAACGGUGACAUUCAGUUCAUUUGUGAGAAUCCCCAAGAGGGAGCAUGCUCCAAAGGGUGGGAGAAGGCUGGAACCGCUGGCAGCUUCUGACACUGUCCCUCGUACUCCUGGCUUCUCCCUGGUUUCCGUGGCCCACCAUUAGGUGUGGGCAUCUGAGUAGAAGCUGCUUAAAAUAGUCACCUGGAUAUUUCAAGAAGCUGUUGAAUAUGCAUGAAGCUAUUUCAGAAAAGAUGUCCCUGGCCGGGCCAAACCCAACCCCAUGCUUUCCCCUGGAAGGGUGAGAAGCUGAAGGGCCCUUUCUAAGUCUCUUCCAUUGGGCGGGGAUCUCAGAAGCCACAGGAACACCACCCAGGCACAUGUUGGUCUUACAGCUGUCAGCUGCCUCGGAUCCUGUGGUCACAGAGGCUUCCAGCCAGGCAGCCCUGCACCCAGAACCCUAGGAGAUUCUGCCACUCCAGCUCCUAGUUUGCUCUAAUUUAGUCUGCUUAGCUUUGGGGAGCAUGCAGGGCCUCUGUCACUUCUUUUGGCUCAUUUUAUCCAUCAACAUGCUUUUCAUGAUAGAUUAUGUGUGCAAAGUAUAAGGGGGGCUGUGUUACAAAGACACCUCCCACAGAAUCAUGGGGUGAGCAAGUGACUAGAGAUAUAAAGUCCACAGAGGUUCAGGAAAAAGGGGGUCAGCGUUCAGGGGAGCAUGAGGAAGGCUCUGUGUGGCUGGGCUGAGCUGCCCAGGCAGACAGUGAGCUGCAGGCUGUGAGGACGAAAAGGGAGUCACUGAAUGCUAUGUAUUGACACUUCUGUGUCCUCGGAUUUUCCUGGGUUUCCCCUUCUAUGGGCCCCCCAGUACCUGGUGCAUUCUUGACAUUCUUGACCCAGGCUGGGGAUGUCUAACACAGUAGCUGCUCAUACCCUCCUGGGCUUCUCAGGAGCUCAGGGCCAGGCUAGGGACUGCACAGGUAUUUCUCAAGUGUUCAACAGAAAUCUUGGAUUCUGUAUCCAGGACCGGCCCAGGUUCAGAUGUAGACUGCUGGUGAUAGCCUGUGACCUUGUGUACACACUGUGCCUGACAUCUUUUCAUCCUAUUUUCUCUCACCCAUAAUAGGGAUGAUAAUCCAACCUGUCUCAAGAAGUUUUGGGUGAGAAUGUGUAGAAAGCUGCAAGUGUGGUGGUAAGCACCUUUAGGGCCAGCUACUUGGGGGCAGAGACCAAGCAUUUAAAGCCAGACUGGGCAACAUAAUCAAACAUAAUUAGGAAUAAGUAAAUGAAUACAUAGAGGGCUUAGAAGUCUGUGGCAUAUUUUAAGAAAUAUGGAAAAAAUGCCUUCUUGAAAAAAAAACAACACAUUUAUGAGCUUUGAGUUUUGUCUUGAGAACUGAAUGCCAUCAAUGACAAGUUUCUUCCCAAAAUAAAAAUAGCUUUGCUGCUUUGACUGUUGUGUCAAAAGUGUCCACUAUAAAAAGUUCAAGUGAAACAAGGAAGGACAGAGCCCUGGCUCUCAGAUAAUUGCCAUACACUGGUCAUCUGCCAAGGUCUGAAUGUUUGGGUCCCUCCAAGUGCUUAUGCUGCACUAGGGAGAUGACCCGGUGGGGAAGGGCACUUGCCAUCAGGCCUAAUGAACUGUGUUUAAUUCCUAGGAUUCACAUGGCAGAAAAGGGGACUCCUGGAAGUUGUCUUCUGACCAGCACAUGUACACCAAAACAUGUGUUUAUUUGAAUGUGUGCACAAGUGAGCACACACACACACAUGAAAUAAAUAUGUUUAAAAAU